GAAGGACUCACAGCUGAAUUCUAUUAGAUGUGCAAAGAAGAGCUGGUACCAUUCCUACAGAAACUAUUCUAAAAAAUUGAGCAGAAAGGACUCCUUCCCAACUCAUUCUAUGAGGCUAGCAUCAUCUUAAUGGUAAACUUUCAAUGACUCUCCACCACCAAGAGGAUGAAUUUCUAUCUCCUUAGAAUGGCAUAUAAAGCCAUUUGUGAUUUGGCCCUGGCUUCCCUCUCCACUCCAGCAGCUGUACUUAAGUACUUGUAGGUCCCUUAGGGAGCCAUAAUUUGUGGCAUUUUUACAUGUUACUUCCUUGGCAUAUAUAUUUUAUUUUAUUUUUGUCAGGCCCACACCACUUAGAUGUUGCUGACUCUAGUAAAGCUUCCCUUACUCCCCAGGUGCUGGGCUAAGUACCCCUAUUCUGGGAACCCUUCUGCUUACCAUAUCACAGCACUUCCGUGACUUCAUAAUCGUCUGUUUACUUGCCAUUUCCUCUAUUAAAUUCUGAGCUCCCUGAUGGGAGUAUUCAUGGUUAGAGUCUCAGUCUCUAUUACGGGCCCUAGUACACUUCAGGAACUCAAAAGCUUUGCUGAUAUAAUGCAAGGUGAUAAAAAAGUAGAAAGACUUGGGAUAAUCUUGAUUUCUGAAGGCAUCAAACGGGAAUUAGAGAAAGCAGCAGGAAAAACGAAGGCCUUUUUAAGUUCCAUGAGAACUACGGUUUGCAAGACUGGUCAAAACAGUACAAUGCAAGCGGCAAGAAUCAGGAAGUGCACAGAAACAAGAAGCUCGGUGCACACUGGGAUCAGGCAAGCAUCUGGGAGAAGACUGUAGCAAGACUGGAUCCUGAGUGCUGCUCUGGCCAAGUCACCUCGCUGAAAUCUCCACUUCCACUUGUGCAACCUACCAAGCCACUCUCUACACAGCUGCCAGAGUGAUUACAAAAACAACGCGGGAUUAUGCUACCCCUGCUUAUCUAAAAUUUGUCAAAAUGCCCGUUACACUUUGAAUAAAAUACAGAUUCCUCUCAGAUCUCA
ensembl:lncRNA LINC01681 long intergenic non-protein coding RNA 1681